rnacentral:lncRNA from 1 species
GCUCGUUAGCUACGUGGUAUGGGAUAAUGUGUGAUAUCUUUGACUGAGAUGUCUAUUAAUUUAUUAGAUAUCAAUAUCAUAUUUGGUAAGAUAUAUUAUAAAAUCUAAAUGUUUUGUGUUACGUAUCACAGGUGUGAUACAAAAUCAAAAAGAUAUGCAUAGUAGAUAGCAGACCAUUUAUUUUUAAAGGGCUUUGAUUUUUGAAGCAAAUAACAUAUCAGGGUGCUAUAGGUAUCUAUUCCACCUUUAUCAUGUUUGUGCAAGAUAAUCACCCCCUUAC